rnacentral:rRNA from 1 species
AGAGUUUGAUCCUGGCUCAGAAUGAACGCUGGCGGCGUGCUUAACACAUGCAAAGUCGGACGAGAAAAGCCGGAAGGCUUGCUUUUGGCGAGUAAAGUGGCGCACGGGUGAGUAACGCGUGGGUAAUCUACCUCCGAAUUUGGGAUAACACCUCGAAAGGGGUGCUAAUACCGGAUGAUAUCCAAUGAACUUAGGUAAGUUGGAUCAAAGAUAGCCGCUUCAUGAAAGCUAUUGUUUGGAGAUGGGCCCGCGGACCAUUAGCUAGUUGGUAGGGUAACGGCCUACCAAGGCUACGAUGGAUAGCCGACCUGAGAGGGUGACCGGCCACACUGGGACUGAGACACGGYCCAGACUCCUACGGGAGGCAGCAGUGGGGAAUUUUGCGCAAUGGGGGAAACCCUGACGCAGCAACGCCGCGUGAGUGAUGAAGGCUUUCGGGUCGUAAAGCUCUGUCAGAGGGGAAGAAAUGUACAGGUGUUAAUAUCGCCUGUAUUUGACGGUACCAUCAAAGGAAGCACCGGCUAACUCCGUGCCAGCCGCCGCGGUAAUA